rnacentral:lncRNA from 1 species
UUUGUGGCAUGCCAAACCUCGCACUUUAAUGGCAAAGUUAAAUAUAACAUUGAAAUGACAACAUAAUAUUACAGGACUACAAUACAAAUAAAUAGGAGAACAUAUUAGACAAAGAAAAACAUGAUUAAUAGAUAACAAAAAGCAUCAGGUUUAAAAUUCAAUACGUCAAAAACGCGCCUUGUCCACACAGGACUUACAAGUGACGCCCAGAUAUAAAAGAUCGAAAGUGAAAAAAAGUACAAAGUUGUACAGCACUGGAGAUAAAAAGUUGAAAAGGUUUCGCCAAAUACGGCAUUGUUUUUAUGCCCGGGAUAAGAACAUUCUUAUUAUAUAGAACAAUUCAUGCUAUUGCAAACAGUAAAUUUUAUCAAAUGAAUAUGAAAGAGAUAUACAUAAAGAAACUGAAGUAUUAACUAAUUACAGAAAACUAAACCCGAAUACAUAACGCCCAGAUAUAAAAGAUCGAAAGUGAAAAAGGUACAAAGUUGUACAGCACUGAAGAUCAAAAGUUGAAAAGGUUUUGCCAAAUACGGCAUUGUUUUUAUGCCCGG